rnacentral:tRNA from 1 species
GACUCAUUGGCUCAGGGGCAGAGCGUCUGUCUAGUAAACGGAAGGUCGCUGCUUCGAUUCCAGUAUGAGGCA